ACUUCACUGGCCUUCUCCAUGACUGCGGAACUGGCUUUAUACCGCCGAAUCUGCAUGGUCGGCAUACAGACAUUGCUGUUGUACCACACUGAGAGCAACACAUGGGGUUCAUACGCCUAUUCCGAAGCACUUUUGAGGAAAACACAGAACAGGCUGUUGGGCUUAAAAAGGAGCUUGCAGAUGUACCUUACUAGCUGGCGGCUUCCUCUUCACCCCUCUUACCCUUCCUCGGUCUUCACUGGCGGAAUCAGAGUCCACUUCGCUUGCCGACUCCGCCUUUCUGGGUACGGGAGCUUCAUCUUCGUCCUCAUCUUCGUCACUUCCUCCGCCGGCAUUGUUGCCCUCGCUGUCGGACGAGCUGGCGGGCUGAAGACAAAAAGUCAGCAAUGUUGUAAAAACCUCAAAUGUAACUACAGUAAACCUCCAACUAUUA